rnacentral:tRNA from 1 species
UUCGAGGUGUAGUGUAGUGGUAGCGCGAUGGGGUUGACAGUAGCAGGUGGGGGGUUCGAAUCCCCCCCUCGACA